UACAAAAUGGCCGAUUGGAGGGAAACUGCUUUGUCCGCACUGGAAACGCGGAUAGCCGCUACACGUGGUGCUCGUUCUUUUCAGUUCAGGGAUGUCUCCCUUUCCCUCAUGCUUCAUAAUGGAACCCGUUACUGGAAAUGUACCUGUAGCCUCAGUUCCUGAGUCACAGCCAUAGCAUUACCUCACUUGAGAGCCAUUUUGGCCAGUAGUGUUUGCCUCUGGAGGCUCAGAAGCGUUUGAUUAUCAUCAGUCAUUAGUACUGCACCAAGUUAACGUCCUUAAUAAUAUACCUGUCAUAAAAAAUACCCAAGUGUUUGUCAUUUAACUGUGUGAACCCGAUAAAACACUCAGCCAACUACAGGAAGCUGUUAAAGUGUAUUUAGAGAAAUGUAGCCCAACAAAAGCUGGACAUGACUGGUUUUACAUUUGUUUGUCGCUUCAGGUAGAGCCCUAACUUUCCUUUGGUGUCAAGAGCAUCUCCACCCUGAUGGCAAUAUAAAUAUGCAGUGGGAUAGCAUGGUGAUCUGCUAAAUAUGGCAAUGCACCAAGAUGCGCAGGAGACUUAAGCAUGAGGAAUGGCAUUGGUCUGUCGCCUCAAUGUGAUUUUCGGUUUAAAAAGUCAACCAGAAAGUUGCCAAAACAAAUGGGUAUGGCCUGUGCCAUAAAUCGUGUAGCUUAGACUGGCACCAGAUGAUCUCCUUGUAAAGACAGCACACAAGACAGCAAAAAUGCAGGCAGCUCUUAGAGUUCCACUUGCAAGGCAAGUAUAAUAUCUUACUGGUAGAACUGAUAGACAAACAUGCUUCCUUGGUUCUUUGCUUGCCUAUGUUCAGCUCUUUACACGCCACUACAUGAGCAAUUAGUGAAAAACCAUUGUGGCAGGAAUAUCAGUAGCCAUAUUAAAGGGCUGUUAGACAUGCAUAUUCCUGCUGUGCAUAGUGUAGCUAGCUCCCCACCAAGACUAGCUACUGUAAAUCCCCAUGGAGAGAAACAGAAGAGCACAAAACAUGUAAGGAGAUUAAGAAAACAGAGGAAGAUACAUUAAGAAAGAAUAAUGAAUGUGGCAAAAGAUUAAUUCAAAUGUUCUCCUGCCUGUCCAAUUGCAUUAUGCUUUUAGGAAUUAAGGGCCCCUAAUUGCUUUGCAGGGCCAGGACAUGGAAAGAAGAGAAAUUGAGCUAGAGGAUAAAAGUGUGCAAAAAAGGAAUGACCAAGGAAAAUAAGAUGAACAAUGGUUACAAUGCUGAAGGCAUCACUAAAAGUUACAACUCUGCACACAUCAUUUCAGUUUUUUGACUUGUAAGUAACUACACCAAUAACUUCCAUAUAUCAGACACUAGAAAACAGCAAAAUGGCUGCCAUUUGACCGUGACAUACUAUGAAGAGUUCCAGCAAUCUCAACAGCAUUUUCCCUCGUAUAACGAGGGAAAUUGACUGUUGAAGAAAACUUCAUCCCACAAUAAUUUUUGCAUAACAAAAUGUAGUUCUAAGCAAAUUUCCAAUAUACAGGCAUGUUACUUAAAAAUGUUAACCAGUUUUAGUUCUUUUUAAAUGUAAUUGCAAUUGAAAGCAGUAUUUGUUCCUUUCUGCAAUGCUGGACACAUGAAACAAUGUAUCAGAAACUAUCCUACAGCAAAACUCCAAUUCCCACAAUACCUUUAAUGGUUCUUCACAGGCAUGUUAAUCAGUAGGCCCCAGUUACAUUGUUUCAAAAGUCAGAUCCAGCAGUGCUGAGCAUAGAAAGGGAGACGAAUAUACUGCUUUCUAUAGAAAAUACAUGUACAAAUAAUUCUAAAAUCAUACAGAAACGUUUUCUGGAGUUCCCCUUUAAGGGCCAUUGCUGCUGAGCAGGCUAAGUUGAAGCUCUGCAUACCUAGAAAAAUUAUCCCUCAAGCCUGGAAAACAAACUGAAUGCUCAGUGACUUAAAUAUAUUUAUUGUGUUUUCUCUAUGUCCAUGCGCUACUUUGAUUCUCAAUAUUAAUGGGUGUUAACUCUAUCCAGUACAGUACUUCUUGGUUUAAACUAACCCUGGAAACAAAGACUUAGGAGUGUAUGUAUAAAGUUGUGUAACAGGUAGUGUAUAUAGAUCAUUUAAUGACUUUAUGCAAAUGUGUAGCACAUUCUGGUGUAAAAACAGGUGAACUUGGAAAAAGACACAUAAAAAUUUCCGCUCAAGAAAGUCUUUGUUGCCUGAAUUUUGUACUGUAAUUAUGUUCAUGGCUGAGAGUACAACUUGGAAUAAUAAUAUAUGGCCUGUAGUCUGGAAUUUCUGGUUCCCCCUCUAUUCUCUACACCUCUAUCGUUUAGGGUUCAUAGAAAUGGGCACAAUAUUUAUAUAUUUGUGAUAAUAUAUUGCUUUUAUAGCUAAUUCAAGCAUUUGUCAAUCCUUUUCUUUAAAUGCAGCACGUAAAACAUUCUAGAAUUUGUUCUAAUUAUUACUGAGGUUGUGAAAUAUUGUGUUACACAUCCUAAAAAUGUAUUGUGACUGAAUUUGCAUUUAUAUGUGCUUAUAUGUGUUCUGAUUUCAAAUUUGUAAACAUGCUGUGUGUGAUUGUAGUCUUAUUCCCUAUCUACUCCCAUCUUUCUACAUUCUUCCUCUAGGGAAGCUUUGUCCUUUAUUUAUUUGUUUUUUUUUUUUUUUUGCAAAAUCAAAACAAACACAAUUCUUGUAAUUUCCUGCAUUGUCUGUUAUUAUUAAACCCACAGGUAAUAAUUA